rnacentral:rRNA from 1 species
GACGAACGCUGGCGGCGUGCUUAACACAUGCAAGUCGAACGGAAAGGCCCUGCUUUUGUGGGGUGCUCGAGUGGCGAACGGGUGAGUAACACGUGAGUAACCUGCCCUUGACUUUGGGAUAACUUCAGGAAACUGGGGCUAAUACCGGAUAGGAGCUCCUGCUGCAUGGUGGGGGUUGGAAAGUUACGGCGGUUGGGGAUGGACUCGCGGCUUAUCAGCUUGUUGGUGGGGUAGUGGCUUACCAAGGCUUUGACGGGUAGCCGGCCUGAGAGGGUGACCGGCCACAUUGGGACUGAGAUACGGCCCAGACUCCUACGGGAGGCAGCAGUGGGGAAUAUUGCGCAAUGGGCGGAAGCCUGAUGCAGCAACGCCGCGUGCGGGAUGACGGCCUUCGGGUUGUAAACCGCUUUCGCCUGUGACGAAGCGUGAUUGACGGUAAUGGGUAAAGAAGCACCGGCUAACUACGUG